rnacentral:sRNA from 1 species
GCCAGGAGUGAUGGCACACACCAGUAGUCCUAGCUCCUGGAGGCUGAGGUGGGAAGUUUGCUUGAGUUUAUGAGCUCAAGGCCAGCCUGGGAAAUAUUGUGUUAACCCACCUCAA